GAUGAACGCUGGCGGCGUGCUUAACACAUGCAAGUCGAACGGAAAGGCUCCUGCUUGCAGGGGUACUCGAGUGGCGAACGGGUGAGUAACACGUGGGUGAUCUGCCCUGCACUUCGGGAUAAGCCUGGGAAACUGGGUCUAAUACCGGAUAGGACCACAUUUUGGAUGGUGUGGUGGAAAGUUUUUCGGUGUGGGAUGAGCUCGCGGCCUAUCAGCUUGUUGGUGGGGUAAUGGCCUACCAAGGCGUCGACGGGUAGCCGGCCUGAGAGGAUGUACGGCCACAUUGGGACUGAGAUACGGCCCAGACUCCUACGGGAGGCAGCAGUGGGGAAUAUUGCACAAUGGGCGCAAGCCUGAUGCAGCGACGCCGCGUGGGGGAUGACGGCCUUCGGGUUGUAAACUCCUUUCGCUAGGGACGAAGCGCAAGUGACGGUACCUGGAGAAGAAGCACCGGCUAACUACGUG
rnacentral:rRNA from 1 species